CCUACGGGAGGCAGCAGUGGGGAAUAUUGCACAAUGGGGGAAACCCUGAUGCAGCGACGCCGCGUGAGUGAAGAAGUAUUUCGGUAUGUAAAGCUCUAUCCGCAGGGAAGAAAAUGACGGUACCUGAUCAAGAAGCCCCGGCUAACUACGUGCCAGCAGCCGCGGUAAUACGUAGGGGGCAAGCGUUAUCCGGAUUUACUGGGUGUAAAGGGAGCGUAGACGGCAGCACAAGUCUGGAGUGAAAGGCCGGGGCUUAACCCCGGAACUGCUUUGGAAACUGUGCAGCUAGAGUGCAGGAGAGGUAAGUGGAAUUCCUAGUGUAGCAGUGAAAUGCGUAGAUAUUAGGAGGAACACCAGUGGCGAAGGCGGCUUACUGGACUGUAACUGACGUUGAGGCUCGAAAGCGUGGGGAGCAAACAGGAUUAGAUACCCGAGUAGUC
rnacentral:rRNA from 1 species